rnacentral:ncRNA from 1 species
CUCUCCCUCUAAGCCAGAUGCCGGGCGUCUACGGGCGCCCGGAGAGUGCCGAGGGGAAAAGGAGCCGGACUCCUUCUCCGCAAGGGGAAAACAUUAACAGGCGCGGACGACUGGUAGGCGUAUGCCGAAGGCCGUCCGCACCG